GACGAACGCUGGCGGCGUGCUUAACACAUGCAAGUCGAACGGAAAGGCCCUGCUUUUGUGGGGUGCUCGAGUGGCGAACGGGUGAGUAACACGUGAGUAACCUGCCCUUGACUUUGGGAUAACUUCAGGAAACUGGGGCUAAUACCGGAUAGGAGCUCCUGCUGCAUGGUGGGGGUUGGAAAGUUUCGGCGGUUGGGGAUGGACUCGCGGCUUAUCAGCUUGUUGGUGGGGUAGUGGCUUACCAAGGCUUUGACGGGUAGCCGGCCUGAGAGGGUGACCGGCCACAUUGGGACUGAGAGACGGCCCAGACUCCUACGGGAGGCAGCAGUGGGGAAUAUUGCACAAUGGGCGGAAGCCUGAUGCAGCAACGCCGCGUGCGGGAUGAAGGCCUUCGGGUUGUAAACCGCUUUCGCCUGUGACGAAGCGUGAGUGACGGUAAUGGGUAAAGAAGCACCGGCUAACUACGUG
rnacentral:rRNA from 1 species